GCCCUCGUGGCGAAAUUGGCAGACGCGUAGCGUUCAGGACGCUAUGAGCUUUAGCUCGUAGGGGUUCAAAUCCUCUCGAGGGCA
rnacentral:tRNA from 1 species